rnacentral:lncRNA from 1 species
AUGUUGAUCAAAGCAAAACUGAACAAUGAGCAGAAAUACAUCAAGAUCAGUGAGCCAAACUUGGCCGAGUUCUUGAAUUCUGCCUUCAUGAAGUUUUCGAUGCCACCCGUCACAGACGGUGUUAAAGUCUUUGAUGAGACUGGAACAGAAGUGGAUGCAGAAGUGUUUGAGGAAGUAGCACAGCAACCCAACGCUGGUGUAUUUACGAUUAGAUUCGAUACUGAUUCUGAGGGAACACUUUCCGCUGCUUGCCAGCAGGAUUCAAAUGCAUCUCAGCCUGAUCCAGCUUCACUGGAACUUUCAGUCUGUAGUUCUGAAGGUACAGUAAUUUUGGAACUUGAAUCCUGCAACUCUGAUGACACAAUCAUCCUGGAUAAGAACAGCCCUUCCAGAAAACGCCAGAGAGAGAAUGACAAUGCCAAACAUGUAAGUUAAUAGGCACUGUACAUUAAAGUUUGUUAGCUAUGAUGAGGACAGUGUUCUUUAUAAAUAUUUUUCUAAGUUUUACGGAUAAUACAUGCCACAAGCUGAUUUACAAAGUGAGCACAGUGUGCUGCAAAACACACCCAUUAAUGCAAUGCAUAAUUUUCAACUGGCUAUUCCAAAUUCCAAUUUGUCUACUGUACAUGUAUUAGUUGUCAUUGUCUAGAUUUAUGGAAUUUGUACUUCUGUGAUUUCAUAGGUAGUUGAAUCUACAUUGGCAAAGAAACCUGGUGGAGAUCGCAUUAUUAAAGAAUACAACCGAACAAAAGGGCUUACUGACUCUUCACGGCGUCAGAUGGUUAAUAUCCUUGCUGCAGACAUGACUGAAACCUAUGGGUAAUUUUCUAAUGAGAUCUUUCUCCCAUGCCAACGUGAUUAGGAAAAAUGUUUGGUGGCAUUCUUAUAAAGCUUAGUGUUAACAAUGUGAUUAAUAGUUUUCACUUUGCUCUUGACAGGACAGCACCGCCCCGGCAUAUAAGGGAGAUGUAUGCUCAAGGCAUUGUUGAGAUGUUCCCUUAUCUCAUGGAUCCCUAUUCUAAAAAAGGAUAUGUAAGUUGCUUUUACAUUAUUAAGCUAGUUAUGGUUACUAUGGCAGACACUGAAGUAUGCGAAGCAAAGGUAACCAACUUGCAAACAUUAAGAUUCAGAUCAAUUAGAUAAUGCUAUUCAUUUUAUCACAUUUAACCACUUCCUUGUCUUUUGGUUAUUGAUGUUCAAAUGGCCUUUUAAUCAUUUUAAAGGAACAUUUUUAUGACGGUGAAAGUGGGACUGGCUAUCUUGCAUGGAGGCUCAAAACCAUUCAGAGGAGGAGUUCUUCAGCAGAAAGCAGAGGGCCAUCACAUCUGCUGGCUGGUGGUGGGCCGACAGCUAAAAGAGAGGCUUUGUUUAACCCUGAGGUGAUCUUAAGUGAAGAGCAAUGCAAGGAGGCCAUGUCUUUAAUGAAAUACUGUUC